GUGGAGAGAGAUGGGCUCAGAGAGACGGCUGGGAUGUUGACGCGUACUUCUGUCAGUAACCAGCAGGGUGGCUGCUUAAAGAUGACCGUGUGGAAGCAGAUACCAGGAGUCCUCUCCCAAAGCCUGGCAGCAGCUGACGCCUAUCAGCACCAAGGAACCGACACAGCUCCACCCUGAGCAGGCCAUGCACCUGCCUCUCCAACACCUGUUGGCAGAGCCUUGCCCUCCUCACGUUCAUCCUCACCUCGGCCAACCAUGGUAAGAACACUCAACAUUCACUGAGUACGUACUCUGCACCAGGUACUGUUCAAAACAUAUUAUGUGUAUUAACUCAUCUAAUUCCUGAGCCCCAUGGGAAUGUGCUGGAAGGAGAGAAAUUCUUUGGCCCAGAUUCCCGCAUGGUUUCUAGUCUCUAUUUCUAGCUGUGCUGUAAAGCUUACAUAACCUAAUUUGCAUUAUGGUACUAUUUUUAAAAACCUCCAAAGAUCGCUGCUUCAAAGCAUCAAUGGAAUCUGUUAGUUCCUACCUAAAAUGAUAAUGUGGGAAAGGAUAUCUAUUCUUACAACCAACUCAACUGGAAUUCUUGACUUAAAACAGUCUUUUGGGAAGAGGCUAUUAAGAAAGGAAGGGACUCAUUCUUAUAUAAGUACUAGCUCUGUGCUCUGUAAAUAAGGGCUAGAGAGAAACACAUCAAUAUUGAAACCCACCUCAGCAGUAGUUUCUUGGCUCUGCUGUUGUUAUCCAUUUACCACCCGUCUCCUUUCCAAGACCCCUAAUAACACCGAGAAACCUGUGGUCACUGCACAGCAUGGCGUCAGACUGUAUAGAGUAUGAGUUUGAAUACACAGAACCUUUCUCAUUCUGGAUGAUUCAGAGAUAGCCCCCACCCUCUCUCAGGAGGCACUGGCAUAAGAUGAAUGGGAAUUAGGGGAAGACCAUUCACAGAGCAGGUUGUUUUCAGCUUUAACUGCUCUUAAUGACCCUGGUGUAUAGGGCUCUGGAUUGCUUGAAAUCUAAUUGCGGGCGGGGGUGGGGGGGGGGGGCGGGGAAAGCAGGGGGGAUCUCCUUAGUUCUUUCCUCUCUAACUCACUGCUGAAGAUUUCCCUCCAGUUAUUAAUGAAAUCUAGGAAACAGGGAAAUUAUGGUGAAUGACUGAUUAUAAGGGUGAAACUUUCUCAUCUGUCAUUAAAAAAAAUGUGCUCCGUGUUUAAAUUAACCACUUUGUCCUUUGUUCUACUAUAAAAACUACUUGGAAAGGACCGGAGUAUUUGUUAUGAAUUCAUUUCAUUACGUUCACUUAUUGGACAGAGGUCCAUGAACAUAAACCAGAGUAGGUUUCAGGCUCUCAAAACUGCCAGGGAAAUAUUUUAAAUGAGUGAAUUUCCAAGUGACGCCUAUUUUGGUGAUGUCAGAGGGCCUACAUUAUUAAAUAGUUUAUAAUUAAACUAAUAACUGAGCUAAUAUUCUUUUUGCCACAGUUAACUAAGUAUCUGGUUCCCAAAGUAGGAUAUUUGUAAUAGGCCCAAUUCCAACAACAAGGAGACUGUCAGAAUUAAAAUGCUUCCACUGGUCACAGCCUCUGUUCACUUGUACCCAGAAGAGGACCUGGUACCUAAUAGGCACUGGGCUGUUUCAGCAGGACUGGAUCGCACUCAGUACUAGUCAGCUAUACCUCAUACAACCUUUUAUAGAUGCCAAAGCCACAUUAAAUGUACAUACAGAUUCUGCAUGGAAAAAAACAAGAGUUGUUCCAGCAACUUUAAAGUGAGUCAUCAAAAGAAACUGCUACUUAGAAACAAAUAUGAAACAUGAAAUUCAUUUUAAUCUACAUAUAUCAAAUACAGCCUUAGCACACAACAUCUAACACAAUUAAAUGCAUUUAUGGGACACACCUAAAUGAAGCAAAUCUUUAUUAAAAUGUCUGCCUAACCCUCACAUCUUUACAUGAACUCCAUGAUGGUUGAAUAAGGUGGGAAAUAAAUAAUCUAGCUACCUAACCUGGAAAAGACAGAUGGAUUGCUUUAAGUCUAUUUGGUCUCUGCAGACUCGAUAUUCACCACCAGAGUCUUGCUGAAGUUGGUUCUGCAAAUAAUUAACUUAGCUCAGUCAAUUAUAUACUUUUCCAUAGUUACCAUAAUAUUUUGUUUUUGUUUUUUUUUUCAUUUUCUAUUGCUUUUUUCUAUGGCUUCUUGCUGUUGUUGUAUUAGGGCAUACAACACAGAUCAGAGACUUUCAUUUCUCGGAGAAGUUUUUCUCCUUGAGAAAUUGGCACUUUGAUCCUCAGCUUGUGUAACAGCUUACACAUACGGAUCCUACCAGCACUAUUACCAACCUUGCUGCUUAGGAAAUUCCACUGCUUUGGCCAAAAGAGUGCCCUGUCAUUAAAAUCUUCUUAGAUGAACUGUUCCUAUCACUGAAUUCUUACAUUUAAACAGGUAUGUGUGUGUAAUUUACAUACGUGUUAUAUCCUAAGUUUCUACACACACACACACACACGCACUUAGUGUAAGUGAAAUGUCUGUCUUGAGUAAAAA